UAUAAUGAGUGUGUGAUUAUGAGUGUGUGAUUAAACAUACCCAUUCAACAUACACCAUAUUUCUGCUUGUUAUGUGUUUAUGUUAAUAGAAAUAUAUUUAUGCACAUAUCAAAUGAUGCGAUUGAUACUAGUAACGGUUAAUAUUAUUAAUAUUAUAAUGAGGGAACUGCAGUUUGGAUAAAUUCACCGGAAGUUGUGUGUUUACAGUAACAACAGUUAUGAAAUCAUGUGCAGGCUCAGACAAGGGCGCCAAAAAAAGGCUUUCAGGACGAGACUGUAGGGUUGUUAUUUACGGCCGGCCGGAAGUAGUGUUUAUGUUAAUGAGCCGGGGGCUGGGUGUAUAUCGCGGGAUCCGCCCUUCAUUCAGCACAUGGUUUACGCAGAUUUUCCUUCGCGCCACUUUCGCAGUUUUACUACGACCUACAAUCUGGUUUGGGUGAAUAUUUCCGGUGCGGUUCGGCUCGCUGGCACACGCUGCUCUCUCCGGGCGGCUGUAUGGAAAAGUUUGCGGUGCAGUUUGGUACAUUUUGGGGCCAAACUGCGGGACUAAAUGGGGGUCUGAUCCGAGGUUCCUCAGAGUUGAAGUGCUACCACCCCACUGGCUGUGUGCUUGUGUGUUGCCAAAGUGCUUACAGUGCAGGUAGUAAUAUGAAAUACCUACUGCAGUGGAGGCACUUCUAGCAAUGUGCAGGCCGUGGUGACUUCUUACAUCCUCACUACAGCAUGGAAACAAGUGUGCGCACUCGCACGUCUUUGUGCUAAGGUGCAUUUAGUGCAGAUAGUGAAGUAGACUAGCACCUACUGCCCUAAGUGCUCCUUCUGGCACGAGGUGCCGUGACUAUCUUCAAGGUGAGCGCUGUUUCCCCGACCACCGCGACCCCCUGCCUCUGGUGCAGUUCUCGGCUAGUUUUGCAUAGUUGCACCACAAGAAAACUUGAGUUGUGCAAAUCUAUGCAAAACUGACGGCGGCCUGCUUCUCCGUCCUGCUGUCCGAUUCAUCAAAUGAGCUCAAGCAGUGCUAAAGUGCUUAUAGUGCAGGUAGUGUGUGAGCAAUCUACUGCAGUGUGAGCACUUAAAGUACUCCCAGCUUCAAAGCCUCGCUUCCUCCAGUACCACAUCACUUCCUGUUUCCAGAGAGGAUGAUGCUGAACAUCAGUCCUAAACCACACCUGUGUACAUAAACCAUGAUACCGUCACACCAUUCACUGCCAUCUGUCUGCUUGUUCUGAAACUCUUUCCUUUCUCUGGAAAGUGUUCUUGUCUUUCUCUCUUCGACCCAUCGCUCAUCUCUGGUCUCCUUCCUUCCUGUCCCCUCACUAGUCUUUCAUUCUUUUAGUUUUCCCAUCUUCCUCUCCACAUCCCUCCUUUUAUUCUUUCCUGUUUUCUUUCCUCCUUUCCCCCUUAAUGUCUUAUUAAAGGGGCAUUUUAACUCUGUCUCUUUUUUUUUAAUUUUUGCCUUUAUUUUCUCACACAUUUUCUCUCUAGUCCCACCAUCCCAUCUCUAUUCAGCUUCUUGUUCUCUUAUUUCGUUCUAUUCUUUUGUUUUGUUUAAUCUCUCAUUCUUUGCCCUCUUGUCUCUUUUCCCUGUCUUUUUACCAUUUUUCAUUGGUUAGUAUGCUUUGUUUUUUGUCUUCCCUUCAUCAAACCCAUUUUCUGUCUUUACCUUUUUAUUUGUGUCCUUUAUUUGCUCAUUUACAUUCUCCUUUCUACCUUCUGUACUUUUCUUCCUGUACCCAUUUUGUUUUUCUUCUAAUCUCACCUUUUCCUGACUUUUUUUCUUUUUCACAUGCAUUUUGUUCUUCCUCUGCUUUUCUCCUCAGUUUGUACUGUCUCCACUGUAGCAAUACCCUCAUCCACACCAGUGCAUUUUGGGUAUUCUGUUCCGUUUGGUUGAUUGUCUUCGUCGUGCUGCUGGCUCUGUCCUUGUCCUAACUGCACUGUCCCUCACUCAGUUUUGCUGGUUUGCAUUCUGCCUGACUUGUUGUUCGCUGUGCAAAUCCAUGCAAAACUGAGUGUGGCAGUGGCUGCUCGAGACCCGGAGGACGGUGGGUCGGCUCCGUCCUCGUCAUCCCCUUGCUGUGCAGGUCGGGAUCGGUGACAAUGCUGUGUGUGUGCGUGUGCAGACGUAUUGCACUUGUCCCGGCCUGUACAGGAGUGUGGAGAUCCCAGCACCACACUGUUUGGCCAGCUGUGUAACGGUAAUCUCAUCCGUAUGAACGGGAUCAUUAAAAACGUGUGUUGAUGUGUAACGCUGUUUAAUUAUAAUGCAAAAUAAAAUGGAUUUCCAAUAA